rnacentral:rRNA from 1 species
AAUAUUGGACAAUGGGCGCAGGCCUGAUCCAUCCAUGCCGCGUGAGUGAUGAAGGCCCUAGGGUUGUAAAGCUCUCUCAACCGUGAAGAUAAUGACGGUUACAGUAGAAGAAGCUCUGGCUAACUUCGUGCCAGCAGCCGCGGUAAUACGAAGGGGGUUAGCGUAGUUCGGAAUUACUGGGCGUAAAGCGCACGUAGGCGGAUUGGUAGGUUAGGGGUGAAAUCCCAGGGCUCAACCCUGGAACUGACUUUAAUACUGCAGGUCUAGGGUUCGAGAGAGGUGAGUGGAAUUCCGAGUGUAGAGGUGAAAUUCGUAGAUAUUCGGAGGAACACCAGUGGCGAAGGCGACUCACUGGCUCGAUACUAACGCUGAGGUGCGAAAGCGUGGGGAGCAAAC